rnacentral:sRNA from 1 species
AAUGAUACUUCCCUGAACCUGUCUGGCAAAGGGCCUGCGAUGAAGGAAACGCAGGGGAACGCUCGCCGCGUUUGAAAAAGAAUGCGGCCGGGUUUC